rnacentral:rRNA from 1 species
GACAGAGGGGGCAAGCGUUGCUCGGAAUUACUGGGCGUAAAGGGCGCGUAGGCGGGAUGGCAAGUCGGUCGUGAAAUCCCUCGGCUCAACCGAGGAACGUCGAUCGAUACUGCUGUUCUUGAGGAUUGCAGAGGAGACUGGAAUUCCCGGUGUAGCGGUGAAAUGGUGUAGAGAUCGGGAGGAACGACCGGUGGCGAAGGCGGGUCUCUGGGCCGAUACUGACGCUGAGGAGCGAAAGCCGUGGGGAGCGAACAGG